UCUCCCUCCCCAAAAAAACUCCAGAUACAGCUUCUGCAACUCCUCUAUUAUUCCUUUGGGAGGGUCCAGGCACGUCAGUCUGUGCCACAGCAUAGAAGCUGCCAGGUUAUUAAUUACUAAGACCCUCUCCCUGUAGGGCAGGCUGGUCAGCAACCCUUGCCAACUCUGAAGCCUCCCUGACUUUAUCCACCAGGCCCUUCCAGUUCUGUUCCAUAAAGGUAUCUGUCCCUAAGAAAAUUCCUUAUACUUUUAGCCACUGCUGUAAAACCUGGAAGUCUUUGUUACU